GCUAGGCAUGGUGGCGCAUGCCUGUCAUCCCGGUUACUCAGGAGGCUGAGGCGGGAGGAUCGCUUGAGCCCAGGGAGGUCGAGGAUGCAGUGAGCUGUGAUUGCACCACUGCACUCCAGCCUGGGCGACAGAGGGAGACCCUGUCUCAA
rfam:Homo sapiens chromosome 16, GRCh38 reference primary assembly.